rnacentral:rRNA from 1 species
UACGAAGGGGGCUAGCGUUGUUCGGAUUUACUGGGCGUAAAGCGCACGUAGGCGGAUUGUUAAGUCGGGGGUGAAAUCCUGGAGCUCAACUCCAGAAUUGCCUUCGAUACUGGCUUUCUAGAGGCUGGAAGAGGUUAGUGGAAUUCCCAGUGUAGAGGUGAAAUUCGUAGAUAUUGGGAAGAACACCAGUGGCGAAGGCGGCUAACUGGUCCAAAUCUGACGCUGAGG